rnacentral:lncRNA from 1 species
CUACUUCCUGCAGGUUAAGCCAAUGAUUAAACCCUCGAAGCUGCUAUGGAAUUUGAAGGAGGUGGAUUAUGAGUGGCAUCAGUUCUUUGGCGAGAGCAAUAGGUUUUCUGUCUUGUUAUUGUGGCUGCCAGUGGUGUUGAUAUACCUGAUGGAUAUCCAAAUUUGGUACGCGAUCUAUUCUUCGAUUGUUGGUGCUGUUGUUGGGCUGUUUGAUCAUCUGGGGGAGAUCAGGGACAUGGGACAGCUUAGGCUGAGGUUUCAGUUCUUUGCUAGCGCUAUUCAGUUCAACCUAAUGCCUGAGGAACAACUCCUGAAUGCUAGAGGAUUUGGUAACAAGCUUAAGGACGCCAUUCAUAGGUAAGUCUAUUGAAGCAUGUUACUGAUAUUUCUAUAUAAUUUACUAUAUAGAGUUUGUCUUUAAAGUACAAGCUAUAGUAUUUUAGUUUUGUUAAAGCAGAUUCUCCGCAAUGAACUCGACUUUUUCACAUUGUAAUAACAUUGAGUUUGUGUACUUUAUGCAGAUUGAAGCUGAGGUAUGGAUUGGGGCGGCCGUUUAAGAAACUCGAGUCCAAUCAGGUUGAGGCUAACAAGUUUGCGCUGAUCUGGAAUGAGAUAAUCUUAGCUUUCAGAGAGGAGGAUAUAGUCUCUGAUCGAGAAGUAGAGCUGCUGGAGCUGCCAAAGAAUUCCUGGAAUGUGACAGUUAUCCGCUGGCCGUGUUUCCUGUUGUGCAACGAACUUUUGCUUGCACUGAGCCAGGCGAAAGAGCUGGUUGACGCACCUGAUAAAUGGCUGUGGCACAAGAUAUGCAAGAAUGAGUACAGGCGGUGUGCUGUGGUUGAGGCAUAUGAAAGCAUCAAACAUCUGUUGCUCUCAAUCAUCAAAAUUGACACUGAAGAACAUAAAAUUGUUACAAUUUUCUUUCAGAUGAUUGAGGUGUCUAUUCAGGGUGAGCAGUUCACCAAGACCUUCAAAGUGGACCUUUUGCCAAAGAUUUAUGAGACACUGCAGAAGUUGGUUGGGCUGUUGAAUGAUGAGAAAGUGGAUGUUGGGCGAGUGGUGAAUGGUCUGCAGUCUAUUUAUGAGAUUGCAACACGACAGUUCUUCCUAGAAAAGAAGACGACUGAACAGCUAUCUACUGAGGGGUUAACUCCUCAUGAUCCAGCCUCAAAGUUACUGUUUCAGAAUGCUGUUAGGCUUCCCGAUGCAAGCAAUGAAGACUUCUUCCGGCAGGUUAGGCGGUUACACACAAUUCUCACUUCUAGGGACUCUAUGCACAGCGUCCCUGUGAAUCUAGAGGCGAGACGGCGGAUUGCCUUCUUCAGCAAUUCGCUCUUCAUGAACUUGCCUCAUGCACCUCAGGUGGAGAAAAUGUUGGCGUUCAGUGUUAUGACUCCAUACUACAGCGAGGAAGUUGUAUACAGCAAAGAACAGCUCCGAAAUGAGACUGAGGAUGGGAUUUCAACCUUGUAUUACCUGCAGACGAUUUAUGCCGACGAAUGGAAAAAUUUUAAGGAACGGAUGCGUAGGGAAGGUAUAAAGACAGAUGUUGAGUUGUGGACAACCAAGCUGAGAGAGCUCAGGCUUUGGGCUUCCUACAGAGGUCAGACUUUGGCACGUACAGUUCGAGGAAUGAUGUACUAUUACAGGGCUCUUAAGAUGCUUGCUUUUCUCGACUCUGCGUCUGAAAUGGACAUUCGGGAGGAUGCUCAGGAGCUUGGUUCAAUGAGGAGUUCGCAGGGAAAUCGAUUGGAUGGUGUUGACGAUGUAAAUGACCGAUCUUCUCUAAGCAGAGCAACUAGCUCUGUGAGCAUGCUGUAUAAAGGCCAUGAGCAUGGGACUGCAUUGAUGAAAUUCACAUAUGUCGUGGCGUGCCAAAUCUAUGGGUCUCAAAAAGCGAAGAAAGAGCCUCAGGCAGAGGAAAUUCUGUAUCUUAUGAAGCAAAACGAAGCCCUUCGUAUUGCAUAUGUGGAUGAGGUACAUGCGGGCAGGGGAGAGACUGAGUAUUACUCCGUUCUGGUGAAAUACGAUCACACGUUGGAGAGGGAAGUGGAGAUAUUCCGUGUGAAGCUACCUGGUCCGGUGAAGCUGGGUGAGGGAAAGCCAGAGAACCAGAAUCAUGCAAUGAUCUUUACCCGUGGUGAUGCUGUUCAGACCAUAGAUAUGAACCAGGAUAAUUAUUUUGAGGAGGCUCUCAAGAUGAGAAAUUUGAAUAACAAAGAAUGUAGCCCAAACGGAAACAGAAUAAAUGAAACGCGGUAAAGUGAACAGAUGUCACAUAAUGAUUGGCUGAUUUAAUUGUCCUACGUGGACAGCUUCUCUGAUGCUCAUAUAACCCUUUUAGUAUAGGUUAGAUGAUAUCAUCCUUAGUCAAAAGUCAAAACAUCUCAAAUUAAAUAAGUAUAGAGUUGUGAAUUUUUAAAAAAGUAUAGAGUAUAUAAAAUUAGCAUUUGCGAAUGUUUUUAAAAGUUUGGCGUUUGUAUGGAUCACUGUCAGUGUCAUGAAUCAUUCGGUGACUGCAAAAUUUUAUAUGACAAAAAAAAAAGAGAGUUGAUACUUACCAUUCUCGAUAUUUUGAAAUUUUUUUCGUCGUUAAUACAAACUCAACAUUUUCGAAAUCUUGGAUUAAAAAAAAAAAAUAUGGACAAAACGGUACUUAUUAAUUAAUUAUGUACUAGCGUCUUGACAUUAUUAAUAUAGAUAUAAUUAUAAGAACAAGAAACGUAUAUGCACAAACCCUCAAACCAAAUUUAAAUAGUGUUAAAAAACAAGGGAUGUACUUGUUAUGAAAAAUUAAUAUAUAACCAUUCUUAACAUUUUUACCUAACCCUUAAACUUUAUAAAUAAAAAUACGUAAUAUCCCGAUAGAAAUAUUUUAAAAUUUUGAUUUGAUUAUUUAUGUUAUCAAAGUGCAUUUAUUUUUUUUUGUCACGUAUAUAUUUAAAAUUUCAACAUUAAAAGUGUGUAAGAUGGAGUAGUGAAAAUAUAGACGACUUACCAUAAAAUUAUUUGUGAUAUCAUUUGAAUAAGACUAAAACACGGACAAAAAUAAUAUAGUGAUUGCAUUGUUAUUAAACAAUUAUUUGGAUUUGAAAAGAAAUAACUCAUUGAAUGAAGCCUAUGAGCCGAGUAAACGGACGUGGAUAGCUUAAGCGGUUGGACCGUACAAAAUUUAUGACCAACAAGAAAAUGAAAUUGAUUUUUUUUUUGACGAAAAAAUGAAAUUGAUUUUAGAAAGUAACAAAAUGGUUCCAGAUUUCAAUACUUCAACGUUUUUUUAUGCCGACUUUCUUUUCCUCUUUUACUUACAUGAUAAGGAAACGAGAGAGGUUGAAGAAACAAAGAAACUUCCUAAGCAUUUAGAAAUGUAUCUUCAAAAAAUCUAGUAUUUACCAAGUAAAAUCAUUCAAAAUAAGGAAAAAAAGAAGAAUCUAUUUCCCAAUUUGGUUUUCACCGAAAAAAAAAUUGUCUUAAUAAAAUCUUAAUGCACCAAAUCAUAUAAGAACUUUAUAUGACCAUUGUCAUUAGUUUUUUCUUUAUGGUAAUGGAUCUUCAAAUAAUUUAAAUUAAAUUAAAAAAAAAAAAGAGAAACAAAAACGCGGAAAGGAGAGCCCAAAUCGUCUCCGUCUGUCAUUGUCGCAGUCUCUCACAGCUAAAUAAAAGAGAAAAACAAAUCGCAACGCUUCAAUAUCUCUCUCCCAAUCGUUUGAAUCAGUCUUCCUCAUCACAAUCCCCCAAAGAUCCACCACACAUGCUACUAUGAGCCUCCGCCACCGCACCGUCCCCUCUCAACCCGGACGGCCCCCGGCGGCGGGCGCAAUCGACGACGAGCCCUACAACAUCAUCCCCGUCAACAACCUCCUCGCCGACCACCCCUCCCUCCGCUACCCCGAGGUCCGCGCCGCCGCCGCCGCCCUCAAAACCGGCGGCGACCUCCGCCGCCCCACCUACGUCCAAUGGCGCCCCCACUACGACCUCCUCGACUGGCUCGCCCUCUUCUUCGGCUUCCAGAAGGACAACGUCCGCAACCAGCGCGAGCACCUCGUCCUCCACCUCGCCAACGCCCAGAUGCGCCUCACGCCGCCGCCGGAUAACAUCGAUUCCCUCGAUCCCGCCGUCGUCCGCCGUUUCCGCCGCAAGCUCCUCGGUAACUACUCGAGCUGGUGCUCGUACCUCGGGAGGAAGUCGAACAUCUGGAUCUCGGAUCGGAACCCCGAUUCGAGGCGGGAGCUUCUCUACGUCGGCCUCUACCUCCUCGUGUGGGGGGAGGCGGCGAAUCUUAGGUUUAUGCCGGAGUGUGUCUGUUACAUCUUCCACAAUAUGGCCUCGGAGCUUAACAAGAUCCUCGAGGAUUGCCUCGACGAGAGCACGGGGCAGCCGUACUCUCCUAGAAUCACGGGGGAGAAUAGUUUCCUAAACGGCGUCGUUAAACCUAUUUACGAGACGAUCAAAGCUGAGAUUAACGAGAGCAAGAACGGGACGGAGCCGCAUUGUAAGUGGAGGAACUAUGAUGAUAUUAAUGAAUACUUUUGGACGGAUAGGUGUUUUAGUAAAUUGAAAUGGCCGAUUGAUUUGGGGAGCAGUUUCUUCAAGAGUAGUAGAGGGAGAGGCGUUGGGAAGACAGGUUUUGUGGAGAGGAGGACGUUCUUUUACCUCUACAGGAGCUUUGAUAGGCUUUGGGUGAUGCUUGCUUUGUUUCUUCAAGCUGCUAUUAUAGUCGCUUGGGAGGAGAAGCCGGGUGGAGGGUCGGUGAGGAGUCAGCUCUGGAAUGCGUUGAAGUCGAGGGAUGUUCGGGUGAGGCUUUUGACUGUGUUCUUGACGUGGAGUGGGAUGAGAUUACUGCAGGCUGUGCUGGACGCUGCCUCGCAACGGCCGCUUAUUUCUAGAGAGACCAAGCGGCUGUUUUUCAGAAUGUUGAUGAAGGUUGUAGCUGCUACGGUUUGGAUAAUUGCUUUUAUUGUUCUCUACACGAACAUCUGGAAGCAGAGGAAGCAAGACAGGCAGUGGUCCAGAGCCGCGAAUGACAAGAUCUAUCAGUUCCUUUACGCUGUGGUGGCUUUCUUGGUCCCUGAGAUCCUGGCUUUGGCUCUGUUUAUAGUCCCGUGGAUAAGGAACUUUCUGGAAGAGACCAAUUGGAAGAUAUUCUUUGCUUUGACUUGGUGGUUCCAGGGUAAAAGCUUUGUGGGUCGAGGUUUGAGAGAGGGGUUGGUGGACAACAUCAAGUACUCGACUUUCUGGAUCUUUGUCCUAGCAACGAAGUUCACGUUCAGCUACUUCCUGCAGGUUAAGCCAAUGAUUAAACCCUCGAAGCUGCUAUGGAAUUUGAAGGAGGUGGAUUAUGAGUGGCAUCAGUUCUUUGGCGAGAGCAAUAGGUUUUCUGUCUUGUUAUUGUGGCUGCCAGUGGUGUUGAUAUACCUGAUGGAUAUCCAAAUUUGGUACGCGAUCUAUUCUUCGAUUGUUGGUGCUGUUGUUGGGCUGUUUGAUCAUCUGGGGGAGAUCAGGGACAUGGGACAGCUUAGGCUGAGGUUUCAGUUCUUUGCUAGCGCUAUUCAGUUCAACCUAAUGCCUGAGGAACAACUCCUGAAUGCUAGAGGAUUUGGUAACAAGCUUAAGGACGCC